GAUGAACGCUGACAGAAUGCUUAACACAUGCAAGUCGAUGGGGAAGUGGUGCUUGCACCAUGGCAGCCAUGGCGGACGGGUGAGUAACGCGUAAGGGACUUACCUGCAGGACUGGGAUAACAGGGGGAAACUCCUGACAAGACCGGAUAAUGUCAUGGAGCUGCAUGGCUUUAUGAUGAAAGGAGACGCCUGCGGAGAGCCUUGCGUCCUAUUAGCUAGUUGGUGAGGUAAUGGCUCACCAAGGCGAAGAUAGGUAGCCGGCCUGAGAGGGUGGACGGCCACAAGGGGACUGAGAUACGGCCCUUACUCCUACGGGAGGCAGCAGUGGGGAAUAUUGGACAAUGGGGGCAACCCUGAUCCAGCAAUUCUGUGUGCACGAAGAAGGUUUUCGGAUUGUAAAGUGCUUUCAGCAGGGAAGAAGUAAGUGACGGUACCUGCAGAAGAAGCGACGGCUAAAUACGUG
rnacentral:rRNA from 1 species